AACGAACGCUGGCGGCAUGCCUAACACAUGCAAGUCGUACGCCUCACUUCGGUGAGGAGUGGCGGACGGGUGAGUAACACGUUAGUACCUGCCCCAAAGUGGGGAAUAACUGCCCGAAAGGGUAGCUAAUACCCCAUAGUCUCCGGUUUAUCCGGAGUAAAGAUUUAUCGCUUUGGGAGGGGCUUGCGUUUGAUUAGCUAGUUGGUGAGGGUAAUGGCCCACCAAGGCGACGAUCAAUAGCUGGAUCGAGAGGUUGACCAGCCACACUGGGACUGAGAUACGGCCCAGACUCCUACGGGAGGCAGCAGUGGGGAAUUUUGGACAAUGGGCGAAAGCCUGAUCCAGCCAUGCCGCGUGCAGGAUGAAGGCCUUCGGGUUGUAAAGUCCUUUUCUGAGGAAGAACUGCCGGGGAGGAAAUGCCCUUGGCUUGACGGUACCUCAGGAAUAAGCAACGGCUAACUCCGUG
rnacentral:rRNA from 1 species